CUCCAGGGCGAGAACGCAGCCUCGCAGGCGGCGAAGGAAGUUUCCUCUCCGCUCCCGCACACCGGUAGUAAGCAGUGGUGCGGGUGCGUGCCUUGGUGUGUGCGCGCCCUGCCUCCCUGCCGAGCGAAAGGACUCGCCUCCGAGGCCACUUUUGCGCCUGGUGAAGGCAAGGGAGUGGCGGCGGCGGCGGCGGCCCUGCUCUCCCUCUCCCUCUCCGUCUCCUCGGCCCUCCCAGUCCCUCCUCUCUCUGGGUAGCUUUGCGGAGAGGAGGAGGAGAGUGAGCUGUGGGAGGGUCCCCAUUGAAAUAAACAAGCAGCCAGUGAUUAAAACGGGAACAUGGCGGCCGCGGAGGACUCAGCAGCUCCAGCUUCCUCUUACAAAGCGAAGGUCAGCGCUGGCAGCAGCCUGGGCGACGGCAGCCGGAGACAUUGCUGACCUCGCAUGCUUGAGAUGUAUCUGAAUAUUGAACCUUUCAGACACAUAACCUGUGCUAUUGAUUUGACUGCCUCAUUGAGUCUUGAUUUCCUAACCCCGGGAAAAGAGAGAGAGGUCAUGCAGAUCUGUGUUUGCUUUUGACUUGAACAUUUUUCUUUUUCUUUCGUAAGUGGAGUGGUUUAAUAUUCAUGCUUUUUCCUCCAAAAACUAAAACAAGUGGCACACAAUUUAUUCCCAGAGGUGAGUUUAAACCUGUUUGUUACCUUUUUGUUC